rnacentral:rRNA from 1 species
GACGAACGCUGGCGGCGUGCUUAACACAUGCAAGUCGAACGGAAAGGCCCUGCUUUUGUGGGGUGCUCGAGUGGCGAACGGGUGAGUAACACGUGAGUAACCUGCCCUUGACUUUGGGAUAACUUCAGGAAACUGGGGCUAAUACCGGAUAGGAGCUCCUGCUGCAUGGUGGGGGUUGGAAAGUUUCGGCGGUUGGGGAUGGACUCGCGGCUUAUGAGCUUGUUGGUGGGGUAGUGGCUUACCAAGGCUUUGACGGGUAGCCGGCCUGUGAGGGUGACCGGCCACAUUGGGACUGAGAUACGGCCCAGACUCCUACGGGAGGCAGCAGUGGGGAAUAUUGCACAAUGGGCGGAAGCCUGAUGCAGCAACGCCGCGUGCGGGAUGACGGCCUUCGGGUUGUAAACCGCUUUCGCCUGUGACGAAGCGUGAGUGACGGUAAUGGGUAAAGAAGCACCGGCUAACUACGUG